UAAUCUUAAUGGUGCCAAACAUAUUUGGUUGUAAGAAAAAUGUUAAAAAUAUGAUUAAAAAAAUUGAUUACAGUGAAGAAAGUUAAUUUUACAUACAUAGCGAUUAGUUGACUAAAUGAGGAUUAUAUUUAUUCACAUGAAAAAAUAAUAGUGCAACAAAAAGUGAAUAUAAGCAAUCUACUGUGAAUAAGAACUGUGUGUAUAAAUGCUAAGUGAAUACAAAUUCAUUUGUUCACAAUAAAGAUUUCGUCUUUGAAAUAUUGAUAUGCUCGUUAUAUGCUGAUACGAUAAUUAAUCAUGUGAAACGUUAAAUUUGAACUCUUGGGAGGCUAUUGACGUCUUAAAUAAUUUUCAGCACAAGACCAGCACAUUAACGUACACAAGCAAGUGGAAAGCGUUCUGUCUGAUUGUAUUCCUAAUCUAUUGCUGUAAGCGUGGUUCGCUGCAAAAAUGUCGGACGUUCACGUUUAUAAAGAUGGCGACAUCGUUUGGGUGAAGCUGGGCAACAAUUGGUGGCCGGGCGAAGUGACCGAUGUGCAUCGCCAACCUGAUGAUUUGCUAAAUCAACUAAAGAAGAAACCAUAUUGCGUUGUAAAAUUUUUCCAAGAAGAUGCCUACGAAUAUGUGAAGAGUGCGAAACAUAUAUUUCCAUUCCACUGCAGCAAAAAAGAUGAGUUCAUCAAAAAGGGGACUGCAUUAUAUAAUGCAAAAAACAAAUUUAUGGAGAAGUUCCCCUCAGAUGUCCAGAUAGCAGAGCGUUUAACACGCAAAGCUGCAGAAGGAGAUUUACUGAUUAUCAACGAUCGUCCAGACAGUAUUGUGAAGGCCAUAUUGGGACCAACAUUCACGCGACGUAGUAACGAUUACUAUGAUAAUGAAUACAACAGUACUUCUACAACUGAAUAUAACAAUAAGCGCAGAAGUGGGGAUUCUGUGACGAAAAUUCUCAACAUAACACCAAAACGUGAAAUAACAAACCCAACAACAACUAACCGAAAUGUAGAUAUAAAACAACUGGUCUCACCGCUGCCAACACCGAUGUAUGUUGCAAAUAAAACUGGGAACGCAAACAGCGCAGAUACGAACUUUUAUCGGUGUAAUUUAUGCGAAUUCUCAAGCCAACGUCAAAAUGUUAUGAUACUGCAUCGACGCACACAUAGUGGUAGUAGUGGUAGCUCCCUGACAUCAGCCUUCACACCUUCAACGUCAAGUGCGCGCAAAAUAGUUUCAGCGACCGUAACGUCAGCAGAAGAUUCUAAAGAGUCAAUUAAAGUCCUCCAUGGCACACCACCAACACCAGCAACAUCAACGAAAUCCUCACCAACGGCUGUGAGUGAUGAUGAUGAACGCAAAUAUCCUGCAGCAUUUGACACCAGUCAGGUACAAAUAGCUAAGUUAACACAUAACACGAAAACACCGGCGAAUAGACGCAGCGUUGGCGGCAGCAGAAACAGACAACAACUUUCGGCCAGUGGUGAACGAGUAAGCCGUUCACGUUCGUUGCGCAUUGAUGCUGAUGUCAAAGAGAUUACUCUGCCAGAUGGCAUGCCGAUUACGUCGGCAAAAGGAGAUCUUAAAUUGAGUAUAGAUGACGAUACUACCGAUAACUCAUCAUCGCAUACCGCUGAGGAACUGCUGAGAUCAUGUAGUCCUCGAAAGCAUAAUGUGGGUUUAGGUGAAACAGACAACGGUGCUGCGGUAAUAAAAAGCUCAGCCGAAGAAAUACGUCAACGUCUCUUGGCUGAUUGGAGUGACGGUGAAAAAGACGAUGAAAUGGAUGAUGGCUUUCAAACGCAUAACAACCAGUACGCAUGCUCCAUCACUGAACCGAAAAGCGAUAUUAAUAACUUAAUCAAAACGCCGGGAACAGAUAUAAAAAACGAAGAGUUGGUAUCUAACACUGCGACCCCAAUAAGUGCAGGCAUAAAUAGUGGUUCAUCUCAACGCAUCAGAAACAUACCGAAGAAGGAUCGCCGUGAUGCGGUACUGAAAGAUUUCAACAACGAAUAUACUGUAGAGUUGCCUACUGUUGUAGACGCAGUAGUGGAGAAUAUCAACUACAACAGUAGCAAUAGCUCCGACUCAGUGGUUGUGGUCGCGGUGGUACCUCCGAAUAGUGGUGAAACCAUUAUACUCGAUGACAAUACAGGCACAGAUGGUGAGACCGAGCCUAAUACAGACAAAGGGACAUUGCCUAGCAAUGAAAUGCCGCCUACUGCUUCACCUUUCAAAGCCUUACAAACACAGCAGCUUGGUGUUGGAGAUGAGUUGCAGGAGGAAUGCUUAGUUACAAAGAGCACUAAUGUUCCAGAUUGUGAACAAGAGUUAACAAGUGAGAAAGAUGCUAUUUCUUUACCCACUGAUCCGACACUGAAAACGGGUGAGCAUAUGCAAGAAGCAUUACAGUCCGAGCAACCACAAAGCGAAGAAAACGAAGAUAUUACUGUUGAGAAUACGGCCACCGAGGUAGGCCCGCUUGGCGAACCAUCAAGUGCAGACAACAAAAAGUUGACAAAAGCAGAAAACGAAGAUGGUCAACCGGACGAGUGCGCGCAGAAACCUAGACAAAAAAGUCGUGGAAGAAGGCAGAAAUCUAAUAAAAGACAACGAAAUAAUACGAAGGAAAUGGCGAAGCAAAGUUUAGAAACCACAUCGAAGGUGGAAGAAACACCAACGCUCGUGGAAGGAGUACAAGAAGCAGAUGAACCCACAUCGCUACCACGCUUAAGAGAAGAGGAAAUACCACAGACAAGCAUGACAGCAAAACGACAGGACAAAACUCUAGCCGAUAAUUUUCCACCACACGAGAGCAGGCGUCGACUUUCCACUGAGCAAAAGGAUCAACAGUUGGCAAACGACAUUGAGAAGCUGCUCGAACAAACCACGGCGCCUAGUAUUGUUGAAACAAUGCCAGCUGGUAUAGUUGUGCGUACACAUUCGUACGGCGGCAGUAGCAAGGAAGAAUUGCCAGUUAAGGGUUUGCCCAUUAAAGAACGUGGUAAGCGUAUAUUCAAGUCGCGAAAUCGUUCAAGAAUUGAAGAGUCUUGCACAUUAGCAGCAGCAAUACCGGCAGACAUCGUGCAACCAGCAGAACAAACAACGAAUAUGGAUGGAGCGCAAGUAGAGGAAAACAAUACAGCUGCAUUAUCUUUUGAAAACCAACCAGAGCAGUCGAAACAGCUCGUAGCAGGAAGCGAAUUUGAUACUAGAAUUGAGCAACAUAAUCAAUUCGACUGCAUAGAUGAUGCGGAUAUGGCUGAUGAUGUAAGCGCACAACUGCUCACGGCAAUUGCGGCACCAAAUGAAACAGGGAGAGUUAUCAGUUUAAGCGAGAUGGAAGAAGUAGAUCAAGAUAAAGAGAAUGCCGGAACUGAGGAUACCGUGCGCACCGAUUAUACCGAGGAAACAAUUCUGAAAGCAAAAAAUAUCAAUAACGGUUCUUUGGGCCAUCAAACGACAGUGGAGAUAUUGUGCAAUGCAACUGUGGAGGUAAAGAAAUGCGAGAACGAGGAAGUUAAUGGCGACCUUUCUAGUGCUGCCGAGCCACAUGUCGAGAGUGUAGAUCACUUGCAAAUAUCAAACCGUAAUACUGAACCUACUGGACUAAGCGCUGAAAAUGAACUUGACUCUUCAAUGUCAGUAAUGCCAAAAAGCGGUGAAAAAGAUGAAAAUCAUUCGUUACAUAAGCAUUUUGAGGACGUGACAGAAUCAAACUACGAAAGUCUCAGUGAUAAAUCUAAAAAUCUUGAAGAAUCUGAGAACUUGGAAGACAAUUGCAACUUAGCUUCAGAAGUGCAAAGAGACGAGGCUGAUGGUGAAGUAAUAUCAGAAGCAGAUCUUAAAGAGGAAAUUUUUGCCAAUACUUCUGUCGAAAUUAAUAUCAACGCCUCAAAGGAAGACAUUAACAACGAUGUAAGUAAACUUGAAUCCUCAACGCCUUCAACCGUUGUAAUUCAACAAAAAGAUAGUUCAAUGGGCAAUCAAAUAUCUGUUACCGAGUCUCCAACUGAAGUAGUACUAGCGGAGCAAAAUAACAGCGGCCACAUAAUGGAGGAGGAUCAACACAGAAGCAUUCUAAUAAACGAAGAAGUGCCGCAAAGUCGUCUCACAUCACCAACUGACGACAACAGUUCGGUUUGUAUCUCAGAAGCUGGUGCCGAGUUUGGUUCACCAACCUCAAUGCUGGACGAUGAACGUUUACCUACGUUGACUGGUAGGCUUAUGACGCCAACCGACGGAAUAGUGGAGACAGUGCCUGCGCGAGCCACAGAAGCGAAAAUUAUUAAUGAGCAACAGACGCAAGUUACUGGAGAGUGCGAGAAAUUAGAUGGAAUACUAAUUAACGAAAAGGAAGUGGUUACCGAAACUGCGGUUGGUGCAACAGCUGGCGAAAUUCAAGCACAUAACGAAGAGGAAGUAGAUGUGCUACAAAGUGAAACUGUUUCUAGAGUUAUUGCUGAAAAUGCAGAAAGCGCAACAACAACACCAGGAGUUGUAGUCGAAGAGGCACUUGCAGCAAACGACCCACUCGUAGAAGGGUUGAAGGAAAAGGGAGAUGCACAUGAAAGUGCUCAACACAUUGUAUGUGACUUUAAUGGCGGUAAAGUUGUUCACACUACCAAGAGUGAGAGUAAUACAGAAAGCUCUGCUGAGAGUAACGAAGAUGUUGUACUUGAAAUGUCUGCUGAAUUAGAGGCAGGCGAACUGCGAAAUGUGGUGCAAACGACUAAUGAUAAGCACACCCUCCCAAGUGAGACCACAGCUGAGCAAGAGAGAGAUAAUAUUGAAGGCUUCAGCACGCAACAACACAACACACACGUAGCAGCUGAACAACAACCGGUUAAAAAUAAUAGCUUAAAACAAGAUUUGAUAGAGGAAUUGAUAUCUAAGGAAGUAUUAGCAGCACAAGUGCAUAUUGAACGGUCGCAAGCCGAAGACUCCGACAUUGACGAUGACUUUAUCGAGAGUCCACCACAUGAACCGCUUUCUGGACAUGAGGGUGAGGCAGAACCGUUACAAACAAAAAAUAAAAUGUUAACUAAAUCUCAAAAGCGCCAUUCGUUGGGGGAACAACACAAUUCUACUGGCAACUCAUCCGCAGUCAUUUUAGAAAAUACCAAAGAAACGAUUAGUAGAAAGCGGCUAUCUCGAACAACUAGAGUACACGAAAAAUCUCAUAAUUUCAUGAAAGAGCUCGAUCUUAUCGAUUUACAUGAUGCAACAAAGAAGGGUGAAGAUAACGAAAGGACAUCCGCAAAGGAACAACAAAUGUCGUCACGUCAGAACAAACGAAAAUCAACGAGAUCAUCGAAAUUGGUCGAAACAGUGAACGAAGCAAACAAAAAAUGCGAAACGGAUGAAUUAGUUACUGCUUGCGCCCAGGUAGUAACCGAUGAUGCAAACACUGAAGAAGAAAUAGCAUUUUGUCAGACACUAAACGAACAUGCGUCAGCUGAAAAGCAACACAAAGGCGAGCAGUAUUGUGAAGCAAGUGGCGAAGAUACAAACUCACCUGCCUUAAAAUCUAAUUCUUCUCGCAAGCGACGUGGCAUAACAAAAUCAGCUCUUCGUCGUGACGUAGGAGCAGCUCAUAUUUUCACUAACCCAAAUGCAAACCGCGACUCAGUUGAUGAAGACACACCGAUACAACACACCAAAAGCAGAAGAGUAGAUAGUCCAGAUAAUGAUAGCGGUAGCUUUGAAAUUAUUCAAACAACUGAAGAUAUGAAAGACACUUCAGUCGAAGUAGCUAACUAUGAGAAUAUAUCUGAAGUGGUGGAGCAGGUGGAAGUAGUCGAAGAUGGUGAAGGCAAUGAUAACAAUGAAGCGACUAGUUCUUUGGUUUUGGAAGAUGAUCAAUGCAUAAUUGAAGAGGUGUAUUUAAACGAUGCAAUGUCUAUGCAGCAAAUAGCUUUACAAACGGCCCCACUAAAUAAUGCUACACUCGAGGAGGCCGGCACAGAAUCAACACACUCUGAUUUAAAUUCAUUUCGUACAAUGGAGGUACCAAAUGCUGUGGAGUUUGUAGACUACAUCUCAAUUGAUCAACAACAACCAAUAGAAGAGGUGAUAGUCGGUGCAAAUAAUAACGUGGAGGCGAUGGUUGAUAAUGAUACACCAAACAACUUCAACAAUAGUUCAAAUGUAGUGAAUACAAGUUCGAAUAAACAGCGAACAUUGUCCUCUACACUCACUUCUCAGCCAAACGCGGAAAACGUGAAUAUCAACGUUUCCCCCAUGGAAAAGGUACGCAUUGAUGUGGACGUCGCCAAUCCACUUUCCACACAAAUAGCCAAUAUUUUAGCAACAAAAUCUGGCGCAUCAUCUAAUGUUAAACAAAGAAAGUCUAACCUGGAAGAUUCUAUACCCUCCUACAUAAUUGAAAGACCUAGCCAAGGCGUUGGCGCACACCAACAACAUAGUACGUCUUCUACGCUGGAUUUUACGGGCGAACAAGAUGCCGUUGCGCAUGUGCAACAAAUGUGCCCCCAAGUGAAAAUCACACGCAAGGAGAAGUUUAUUGAAGUGCGGCAAACUAGUGCAGUACAACAAGAAUCUGUUGUUGCGACCACAGCAGGAGCGGUAUUCGAUAUCAAUAAUAUGCCAAUUGUUCUCGGCAAUGAGCACUUUAUGUCCGCACAGGGUGACAUGCAAAUUGUGUUGACGACAUCCACAGAGCCGGAGGGACAAAUGUUGCAAGAUGGUCCUCACAUUUUACAACAACAAAUCAUACAACCUGCUUACAGGUCGGGACAGCAUCGAAAACGUAAGAGUUCCACAAAUCAGCACCAACAACAGCUGCAGCAGCAUCAACAAAGCAACAGCGCAGGUAGCAAUAAACCUGGAAUAAUUAUAAUCAAGGCAAGUACAAGUGAAUUUCCGACAUCGUCCACAGACACAACAACCACUUACAAUUUGGGCUCGGGUGUGACACUGCGUCCUAUAGCUGAACCAAAGCAGAAGCGUCAACAACAUCAACAACAAGUGAAACAGCAGCAACAACAACAACAACUGAAGCAGCAGCAGCAGCAACAGCACCAGCAAUUGACAGGUCGCAAACAUGUUGGCAAAACGAUAACAUUGCCUAGUAGUAUAACUGUAAAACAACGUCAGCAAAUAGUGACUGAUGAUGCACCAAAUCCCGCUGAAUUAGCGUCAACACCAUCAAAUGUGGUCGCCAGUGAUCAGCAGCUGCUACAACCACCAUUAAAUACAACAAGCGGCAACCGAACGCAAAAACGUAAUCUUCCAACGACGAAUUCACGUCGCCAAUCACAAUCACAGUCGCAGCCAGUUCAAAAACGGCGUUUAACUGCCACUGCCAGCAAUGCAGUUGAGCUGCAGCAGCAUGAGCAACAAUAUGAGAUUGGCGACGAUGCUGCAAUACUGAAUCGGCGGCUCAGCUAUCAUGAUGGAAAUGCUCAGCCACCAGCUAAAGUUCAUCGCUUGACCGCGCCAGAGCCAACGGCAUUCGAUAGCAGUCUCAAUGAGCCAACGUUUGUGACGGCAGCGGAGCAGCAACUAUUACAACUACAAGAGCAACAUCAUCUAGUACAAUCGCCAACAACGACGCAGCCACCUCCCCUACACCCGCUUAACAAUCGCAAGCAGCGUCGUUUGUCGCAGCACAAUCGAAGAAUGAGUACGAAAGUCGAGGCUCCACCACCACCGCUGAGGGUUGACGAACAACAGGAGCAGCAGGAAGAACAAUUGGAGCAUACGCAAAUGGUGUUGUUGGAUCCACAAGAGUGCUUAGAGCUGCAUCAAGAGCAGCUACAUGCAACUGCAAUGCGAAUAGCGGAUUUCGUGUCAUCGCCUUCAGUACACCUGCUCCCAGCGGACGAAGAGAGUGAUAACGACGAACCUGUUGUCUAUACCGAAGAAAUUCUAUCUGCCCCAAUUGAAGAGGAUGAACACACUCCAUCGGUAAUGGCGGUGCCAUCACAAGCAGUACCCGGUUAUCCGGAAACUUUGCUACUAUGUCGGAGAGUAGGCGAUGAAUGGGUACCGAUUGUAGCUCAGCCUUAUUACUACACCGUAUGCGACCAGCAAUUGAGACCCAUACCCAAGGAAGUGCUUAUUGGUCAUCCCAUACUGACACCAGAUGCAGACAAAACAGUGGAGCUGACGCCAGCGCCACAAGUCGUAAUAGAGGAUACGGUCCAUAUACAAAUCGGUACAGAGCAAUUAAGUAUGGGUUAUCCACAGUUUUUUGAGGUAAUGCGUUGUACUGAAAGUGCACUCGAUUUGCAAGACGAAUCCGGCAAUGUAAUUCAUCUUACCCGAGAAAUGAUGGAUUCAAUCCAACAAGAUGAAGGUUUUCAAGAAAAAUUCCGACAACUGCAACAGAUUUGGGAAGAACAACAAUUAGCGGAGCAACAGCAAUUAGAAGAGCAACAACAAUUGGAACAACAGUUGUUAUUACAACAAAUGCAAUCAGAUGAGGAACUAGAUCCCAAUGACAUGACAAUGCUACGAAUAGACACUUCACAAGGGAUUCAAAUUUUAGAAUCUCCCGACUCCAAUUACAUAAUUCAACAGUCCAUAACACAGCCACCACUUUCGCCUCCAUGCACACGACCGGCACUUACAAAUGCUACAAAUGCGCUACUCAACCAAACGCCCAUCAUGUCACCACUGGAAAAACCAUCAACCGCCGUUCCUGCUGCACUCUUGGCGGAAAAUUCUGGCCAACAAAUCGACAUAACGUCAACAACAACAACGCCCGAACAACUGAUCGCAGCUGGAUAUAUAGCAGGCGAUACAUCAAGUGAUACGUCAGGUUAUCGCCCAACUCUGGGGGAUAGCCUAGCCGCAUUAGGUGUUGUACCAACUCAACCUACACUGCUACCCACCACAGUAACCAAUCCGGCCAUUGCGCCACCAAAGUCUGAUUUAAUACCGAAUAUGGCAACCGCUGCACAAAUGCACGCGCAAUACCGUCAUGCACAACGUGCAAUAUACAACGACCCCGGAAGUUAAUAUUGCCCUAAUUCUCUUUAUGUAGAAAAUCCGCCCAAUAGCUUUGUAGAGGAUUUGCGUAGGGCGGAGAAUGGUGCGGCUGAUAUUGGCGCUGAUGCAAGUGUUGGAGAACCUGUUGGUCCUAGUGUGGAGCUGGGUGUGGAUGAGAUAAAUGAUAUGGAGAUGGAGGAUAUAAAUAUGGAUGCAAAUGUGCUUUAUAUGUAGCCUUCUCCUUAGCUGAGAAUACCGUAAGUCUUAAGUGAAUACAACAUGUGAAUUAGUGUAAACCAGCUUAAUUAUCGCUUUAGUACAUUAAAUUAAAUAAAGUUAAUUAUUUUUAUGCUCUUUGCAAAAGUACGUGCUUAAUGUUAUAG
rnacentral:misc_RNA from 1 species